rnacentral:rRNA from 1 species
GUGGGGAAUUUUGGACAAUGGGCGAAAGCCUGAUCCAGCAAUGCCGCGUGCAGGAUGAAGGCCCUCGGGUUGUAAACUGCUUUUGUACGGAACGAAACGGUCCGGGUUAAUACCCUGGGCUAAUGACGGUACCGUAAGAAUAAGCACCGGCUAACUACGUGCCAGCAGCCGCGGUAAUACGUAGGGUGCAAGCGUUAAUCGGAAUUACUGGGCGUAAAGCGUGCGCAGGCGGUUUUGUAAGACAGGCGUGAAAUCCCCGGGCUCAACCUGGGAAUUGCGCUUGUGACUGCAAGGCUGGAGUGCGGCAGAGGGGGAUGGAAUUCCGCGUGUAGCAGUGAAAUGCGUAGAUAUGCGGAGGAACACCGAUGGCGAAGGCAAUCCCCUGGGCCUGCACUGACGCUCAUGCACGAAAGCGUGGGGAGCAAACAGGAUUAGAAACCCCAGUAGUCC